rnacentral:rRNA from 1 species
GAACGAUGAAGCCCUUCGGGGUGGAUUAGUGGCGAACGGGUGAGUAACACGUGGGCAAUCUGCCCUUCACUCUGGGACAAGCCCUGGAAACGGGGUCUAAUACCGGAUAACACCGGCUUCCGCAUGGGAGCUGGUUAAAAGCUCCGGCGGUGAAGGAUGAGCCCGCGGCCUAUCAGCUUGUUGGUGGGGUAAUGGCCUACCAAGGCGACGACGGGUAGCCGGCCUGAGAGGGCGACCGGCCACACUGGGACUGAGACACGGCCCAGACUCCUACGGGAGGCAGCAGUGGGGAAUAUUGCACAAUGGGCGAAAGCCUGAUGCAGCGACGCCGCGUGAGGGAUGACGGCCUUCGGGUUGUAAACCUCUUUCAGCAGGGAAGAAGCGAAAGUGACGGUACCUGCAGAAGAAGCGCCGGCUAACUACGUGCCAGCAGCCGCGGUAAUACGUAGGGCGCAAGCGUUGUCCGGAAUUAUUGGGCGUAAAGAGCUCGUAGGCGGCUUGUCACGUCGGGUGUGAAAGCCCGGGGCUUAACCCCGGGUCUGCAUCCGAUACGGGCAGGCUAGAGUGUGG